rnacentral:rRNA from 1 species
AUACGGAAGGUCCGGGCGUUAUCCGGAUUUAUUGGGUUUAAAGGGAGCGCAGGCCGGAGAUUAAGCGUGACGUGAAAUGUAGACGCUCAACGUCUGAAUUGCGUCGCGAACUGGUUUCCUUGAGUGCAUUCGACGUCAGCGGAAUUUGUGGUGUAGCGGUGAAAUGCUUAGAUAUCACGAAGAACUCCGAUUGCGAAGGCAGCUGGCGAGACUGUAACUGACGCUAAAGCUCGAAAGUGCGGGUAUCGAACAGGAUUAGAUACCCUGGUAGUCCGCACGGUAAACGAUGGAUGCCCGCUGUUUGCGAUAUAGUGUAAGCGGCCAAGCGAAAGCGUUAAGCAUCCCACCUGGGGAGUACGCCGGCAACGGUGAAACUCAAAUGAAUUGGCGGGG